rnacentral:rRNA from 2 species
GGGGGAUAUUGCGCAAUGGGGGCAACCCUGACGCAGCAACGCCGCGUGAAGGAUGAAGGUUUUCGGAUUGUAAACUUCUUUUAUUAAGGACGAAAAAUGACGGUACUUAAUGAAUAAGCUCCGGCUAACUACGUGCCAGCAGCCGCGGUAAUACGUAGGGAGCAAGCGUUGUCCGGAUUUACUGGGUGUAAAGGGUGCGUAGGCGGCUUUGCAAGUCAGAUGUGAAAUCUAUGGGCUCAACCCAUAAACUGCAUUUGAAACUGUAGAGCUUGAGUGAAGUAGAGGCAGGCGGAAUUCCCCGUGUAGCGGUGAAAUGCGUAGAGAUGGGGAGGAACACCAGUGGCGAAGGCGGCCUGCUGGGCUUUAACUGACGCUGAGGCACGAAAGCGUGGGUAGCAAACAGGAUUAGAUACCCUGGUAGUCCACGCUGUAAACGAUGAUUACUAGGUGUGGGGGGUCUGACCCCUUCCGUGCCGGAGUUAACACAAUAAGUAAUCCACCUGGGGAGUACGGCCGCAAGGUUGAAACUCAAAGGAAUUGACGGGGGCCCGCACAAGCAGUGGAGUAUGUGGUUUAAUUCGAAGCAACGCGAAGAACCUUACCAGGUCUUGACAUCCAACUAACGAAGUAGAGAUACAUUAGGUGCCCUUCGGGGAAAGUUGAGACAGGUGGUGCAUGGUUGUCGUCAGCUCGUGUCGUGAGAUGUUGGGUUAAGUCCCGCAACGAGCGCAACCCUUGCUAUUAGUUGCUACGCAAGAGCACUCUAAUAGGACUGCCGUUGACAAAACGGAGGAAGGUGGGGACGACGUCAAAUCAUCAUGCCCCUUAUGACCUGGGCUACACACGUACUACAAUGGAUGUUAACAGAGGGAAGCAAGACAGCGAUGUGGAGCAAACCCCUAAAAACAUUCUCAGUUCAGAUUGCAGGCUGCAACCCGCCUGCAUGAAGAUGGAAUUGCUAGUAAUCGCGGAUCAGCAUACCGCGGUGAAUACGUUCCCG